rnacentral:rRNA from 1 species
AUGGGUAUGCAGGCUCUUAUGAAUGUCUGGUGCACGAAUCUUGUCAACCCUGUAUGCGACUGGCUUGGUGAGAUUUACGACCCCGCCUCCAGGGAAUUUGUGAUUCCGGGAUGUGGAAGACUACCGUUGAAUGAGGAAUCCGUGUUCUGCACUUUGGGGGUGCCUCGUGGACAGAUCAAAGUCCCGUACGAGGCCAUGACAACCCAUGGAGAUGUUUUUAAGAUGAAGCUACUCAUGUACCUCAUCUCAGCUAUUUUCACGCCGACCAUUUCUCUUCGCCCAAGCAACAAAUGCUUCCCCAUCCUUGCGGAACUGAAAGAUGUGAAGAACAUGAAUUGGUGUAAGUUUAUUGCCGACUUCCUGCACGAUGCAUUCUCAAGCAAGAUGUACCAAAAGGGUUGUCGACUGCAUUUAAUGCUCAUGUACGUCGACUGUCUUGAUCUGUCCACCGUGGAUUUCACUGGAACAGGAGGCCCGCCGCCUACGCACAAGUUUGCUGUUUCUGCGUGGAUUAUCGAUGCUGUCAAGGCUGUGCUUGCUGCAGACAGGCUGAUGGCCAAGCAUGCUAUAGACUACAGCGUGUUUGGGGGGCCUCAAAAAUUUGGAAAGUGGAUGGACGUGCACUCAGCUCCGUCUUGCCCUACUGAGGCGAGGGCACCUGUUGAGCAUCUAAUUGGGCAGUUUGCAUCCGGAAUGACCGGCUUGCUCGGGAAGUUGGUUGAGGGGUGGACGUCCCUCAGUAGCUCUGACAGCGACGCGGUUGCGAGGCAGUUCACUUCAUUUGUCCCAGAACAGACACAUCGGUCAACUGGUUGCCGUGGCCGGUAUGACUACAACAGUUCCCAAGAGCUUGCUGACACACAAGAUGAACUAGAUGGAGACGCUGGUCUCAGCAAGGAUGACAAUGAUGACAUGGAGAACGUGCAACAGGACACCGAUGAUGAUGAACAUGCUGAAGUUCGUGCAGGUGGUAACAAGGGCAAGGAUGCACCAGAUGUCCCCCCACCAAAGAAAGUCAAAGAACAUACCGCUGCGAGAGGCGAGGGGGUGUUGCCAUCAAAGAGGGGGAGGGCUCCAGAGGAUGUUGGGCAGGGUUCUCCUGGCAAGAGGCUAUAA